rnacentral:lncRNA from 1 species
UGGAACAGGGUAAAAGGAGGAGAACGAAUUACAGAAACAAUUAGUUUACGAACGUUGUGAGUAUCUUUAACUUGAAAUACAUGAAUAAGUGAAUAAGGCAUUGUAUAUUACUAUUAAAUACUCAUAAAUCGAUUAAGCACAAACCCAUCUGGGUUACAUAAUAAAAACGACGGAAAGUAAUAAACUACUAGUACAGUAUAAGAAGAAAACAACGUAACAAGUACAACACAAACACUUAACUGAAACAAAGACAAACACCAACAUUCAUAAACGGACUAUUUGAUAACAUCUACCACCUUCCAUACUUGGUACAGGACAUGUUAAGAAUAAACGGUGGGUUUAUUAAACCUGGUUUUAAUGCUAGACAAACCUCCAGCGUGUACAGAAAUGUUAAAAAUACCACAAAAAUGACAACAUCACUUUCAUUUCUUUCUUAUAUUUUAUGUAUUUCUCUGUCCUGAAUGUUCUUGCGUUUAUUUGAAAGUUGUAUACCUGUAACGUGACAUAACUAUCCGAAGUGAUCAAUUGGUCAUUUUCAAGCUAGACUCUGAGACAACUUACUGUACCAGGAAACAGCAUCGAUAACUGCCAUACAAUAAGACAAGGUAAAGCAGACUUUUCUUAUGAGUAGUAUUUGGAUGCCUUCCAGCAAGAUAAUGCGAAGUUUUGUUCAAUGUAUUUUCAAAUAUUUGGUGAACACUUUCUUAUGUCAGUCAUUUUUCUUACUUAGAUCACCUGAUGGUAAACGUCACAGCAGAGAGGUCUAUGUUCGUCCAUAAGUUCUUUAUAUGAAUGAUAGAAGGACGCAAUAAUACAAUGGAACAAGAAAACAAAGAGUCUGGACAUAGAAAGAUGGAGCAUCUUCGGGUGAAAUGCUACUGUAAUUAAUCAUAUGCAUGUUCUUCAACGAAAAAUGCUUUCAGGUACCGUUGCAAUAAAACUUUAAACAUUGCCAUAUGCACAUUGUUAUUAUCAUGAAUGUGAAAUAUUAGUAUGCUUUUACAUUUCUACAAAUGAUAGUGAGGGUAAACAUGGUAAAUAUUGGAUGCUAAUAUGUAUGCUAUACAUGUAAUGUAUGAUAAUAUGUAUGUUUGCUAUGCAUGUAAUGUAUGUUACAAUGUAUGUGUGCUAUGCAUGUAAUGUAUGUUACAAUGUAUGUGUGCUAUGCAUGUAAUGUAUGUUACAAUGUACAUGUAUGUGUGCUAUGUAUGUUAUGUAUGUUACAAUGUAUGUGAGCUAUGCAUGUAAUGUAUGUUACAAUGUAUGUGUGCUAUGUAU